UGGGGAAUAUUGCACAAUGGGCGCAAGCCUGAUGCAGCCAUGCCGCGUGUAUGAAGAAGGCCUUCGGGUUGUAAAGUACUUUUAGUCGGGAGGAAGGUGGUAAGGUUAAUAACCUUAUCAAUUGACGUUACCGACAGAAGAAGCACCGGCUAACUCCGUGCCAGCAGCCGCGGUAAUACGGAGGGUGCAAGCGUUAAUCGGAAUUACUGGGCGUAAAGCGCACGCAGGCGGUUGAUUGAGUCAGAUGUGAAAUCCCCGGGCUUAACCCGGGAAUUGCAUCUGAUACUGGUCAGCUAGAGUCUUGUAGAGGGGGGUAGAAUUCCAUGUGUAGCGGUGAAAUGCGUAGAGAUGUGGAGGAAUACCGGUGGCGGAGGCGGCCCCCUGGACGAAGACUGACGCUCAGGUGCGAAAGCGUGGGGAGCAAACAGG
rnacentral:rRNA from 1 species